rnacentral:rRNA from 1 species
AUUGAACGCUGGCGGCAUGCCUUACACAUGCAAGUCGAACGGCAGCACGGACUUCGGUCUGGUGGCGAGUGGCGAACGGGUAAGUAAUGUAUCGGAACGUACCUUUCAGUGGGGGAUAACGUAGCGAAAGUUACGCUAAUACCGCAUAUUCUGUGAGCAGGAAAGCAGGGGAUCGAAAGACCUUGCGCUGAUUGAGCGGCCGAUAUCAGAUUAGCUAGUUGGUGGGGUAAAGGCCUACCAAGGCGACGAUCUGUAGCGGGUCUGAGAGGAUGAUCCGCCACACUGGAACUGAGACACGGUCCAGACUCCUACGGGAGGCAGCAGUGGGGAAUUUUGGACAAUGGGGGCAACCCUGAUCCAGCCAUGCCGCGUGAGUGAAGAAGGCCUUCGGGUUGUAAAGCUCUUUCGGCCGGGAAGAAAUCGCAUAGGCUAAUACCCUGUGUGGAUGACGGUACCGGAAUAAGAAGCACCGGCUAACUACGUG